ACUCUCUGUUCUAUACAAGAGGCUGGUUGAUAUGUUGGAUGAGAAGGCACAUUUGCCUACUAUACUGCAGUCACUUGGGUGUAUAGCACAAACUGCAAUGGCUGUCUUUGAAACUAGAGAAAGUGAAAUAAUAGAAUUCAUUAAAAGCAAAAUUUUGCAAUGCAGUAAUAAAGGACAAGAUAAACCGAAAGCACGGUGGCGUGAUAG